GGAGGAAGAGGAGGAGCUGAUCUGUUCCUGAUCUCUAAAGAGACUCAAACUUCCUCCUUCAGUUCAGUUCAACUCUCCAACAUUAACUCUGCUCAACAUGGACUAUUAUGGUCUGUCUCUGCUCAUCAUCUCUCUGCUAACAGGUGUCAGAUGUGAUCAACCGACUCCCUGGUACAGUGAAGUGUUCAAUUUAGUCGACAGCUUUGUUCCUCUGAGCUACACUUUAUCCAAACCAGCAGCUGUUAAUGAUUAUUUCUUCUGGUACCGACAAUAUCCUGGAAAACCUCCAGACUUCCUGAUCUCUCACACAGCAAAGGGAGGAGAAUUAUCUCAGCCGCUUCCUGGUUUUUCUAUUAGAGUGAAUGAAAAUCAAACCCAGAUGGAUCUGCUGAUCUCCUCUGCUGCAGUGACAGACUCUGCUGUGUACUACUGCGUUGUGAGGCCCACAGUGACAGGAAACACCAGAACCCUGUACAAAAACCUGCAGUACUCCACAGCAGCCACUAGAGGCCCUCACUCCCUGUUAAACCACUAAAACCUGCAGUACUC